rnacentral:rRNA from 1 species
CAUGUCCUUUUGAUAAUAAUUUAAGGUCUAGUCUGCCCACUGAAAAUUUAAAGGGCCGCAGUAUUCUGACUGUGCAAAGGUAGCAUAAUCAUUAGUUUCUUAAUUAGGAACUGGAAUGAAUGGCUGGACGAGGAAAUUUCUGUCUCAUUUUAAAUUUAUUUAAAAUUUUAUUUUUGAGUUAAAAAGCUUAGAUUUGUGUAAAAGACGAGAAGACCCUAUAGAGUUUUAUAAAGUUAAAUUUUAUUUUUAUGAGGAAUUAAUUUGAAUUAUUUUAAAUUUUAUUUUAUUGGGGUGAUAAAGAGACUUAAUUAACUCUUUUUUUAUUUUAACAUUAAUAUAUGAUUUGUUGAUCCAUAAUUUAUGAUUAAAAGAUUAAAUUACCUUAGGGAUAACAGCGUAAUCUUUUUAAAGAGUCCUUAUCAACAGAAGGGAUUGCGACCUCGAUGUUGGAUUAAAGUUUAUUUAUGGUGUAGAAGCUGUAAAAUUAAGUCUGUUCGACUUUUAAAACUUUACAUGAUCUGAGU